rnacentral:rRNA from 1 species
GACGAACGCUGGCGGCGUGCUUAACACGUGCAAGUCGAACGGAAAGGCCCUGCUUUUGUGGGGUGCUCGAGUGGCGAACGGGUGAGUAACACGUGAGUAACCUGCCCUUGACUUUGGGAUAACUUCAGGAAACUGGGGCUAAUACCGGAUAGGAGCUCCUGCUGCAUGGUGGGGGUUGGAAAGUUUCGGCGGUUGGGGAUGGACUCGCGGCUUAUCAGCUUGUUGGUGGGGUAGUGGCUUACCAAGGCUUUGACGGGUAGCCGGCCCGAGAGGGUGACCGGCCACAUUGGGACUGAGAUACGGCCCAGACUCCUACGGGAGGCAGCAGUGGGGAAUAUUGCACAAUGGGCGGAAGCCUGAUGCAGCAACGCCGCGUGCGGGAUGACGGCCUUCGGGUUGUAAACCGCUUUCGCCUGUGACGAAGCGUGAGUGACGGUAAUGGGGAAAGAAGCACCGGCUAACUACGU